ACUCUUGGACUUCUCUUUUUCAAGAUCGAUAAAAUCUUUCGCCCCUUUUACUAAAGUUUUCCGUGGCGGGGAUCAAUAAGAAGUUUUUACCUUUUCUAUAAUUUUUGAAUUUUGCCCUGGCUUUAAUU
rnacentral:snRNA from 1 species